rnacentral:tRNA from 1 species
GUCUCCGUAGUUCAACUGGAUAGAACGUCGGCCUCCGAAGCCGAAGGUUACAGGUUCGACCCCUGUCGGGGACACCA